UAGCAGAAAGGGGCUGGGCUGCAUGGCUCCAACUCUGCGCGUCUGGGAGCGCGGGAGGGAAGAGCGACGCGAGAGGGGAGGAGGAGGAGGCGGCGGCGGCGGCCAAAUUAGGCGCUCGUCCCGGGCCCACGGGGAGCCCACGCCGCGCGGGGCUGCGAAGGGAGCGAGCCCAGGCCGGAGCCAGGCGAGGAGGUGAGGGGACCGGGCUCUCCUUCCGCCGAGACACAGCCUCACUCCGUCCCUCUGGCGGCUGAGGAGACCCCUGACCCUCGGGAGGAGAGGAUUCCUUCCUCCGCGAUGUCUGGGGCAAGGCCUGCUCAGCACCUUCUUCAUCCUGCUCCUUCGGCCUCUCCGGACACAAAUAGCCUCUCAGAGCAGAGGCUCCGCCAGACGCGCAGCCUGGACCCGGCCGUGCUGUCCCGCGGCCGAGGAGGCGGCCCCUUCCCCGGUAGAGUGCCUGGCGGCGGCGGCGUCGUCCUCCUCCCUGGCCCGCUCGCGCCCGCCCGCCUUGCCCCCGGGGGCCUGCGCCUCGCUCUCCACGCCCAGCACCCCGCUGGACAAGUCGCCCUCGGGCAGCUGCCACUUCGAGUACGAGGCGGGAGGCGCGGGGCCGGCGCGCGGGAAGCGCCACACGGCCUGGGAGCUGCCCUUCCUCGCCCGCGCGCCCUCCGCCUCCGCCCUCAGCGGCGCCCCCAGCGGCGGAGGCGCCAACAGCAUCUUCUUCUCGCCCAGGAAGUGGCUCCAGCAGAGGAAGGGCGCCCACCCGCCCAGGAGCCCCGCCUGCAGCUACGCCCUCUGGAAAGCCCAGGGAGAAAAUAAGAGGCAGGUAUAGCUCCAUCGAGACUAGACUCCAAAACAUGUGAAACGUCUUCCCAUUGUCUCAACUGCCACUGUCUUGUGUGUGAGAGAAGCAGAGACAAGCACAGCUCCAUCCUGUUUGGGCCCAGAAGAAGAUGAAAACUGUCCGGAGGGAGAGAAGAAGAGUCCCAUCCCAUACUGCCAUUUCCUUUUUUGUGUGUGUCAUGCCUUAAUUAGAUUGUAAGCCUGAAUGCAGGGAACUUUUUUCUUCUUCUUUUACUUGUAAAGGACCAAGUGCAGUAUUGACAUUAAAUAAAAUAAAUCCUAGAAGGGAAUAUCAUUCCCAGCUUUUGGCAUGACUGACUUAAAGGCUGAAUAGCUGCUUAUCCAGAAACAUUAGCCUCCUCCCAUUCCAAAUACAAAGAUGCAUUUUGCUAUGGGUGGGAAACUGGACUUAUCAAACCAGUCUGUAAAAGUUUUUGGGAUUCUUUCCUUUGCAGCAUUUGAAACAGUAUUUGCUUCAACUUGAUAGCACAGGGACACAUUUACUACUGAAUUGCACUUUAAAGCACUUCCUUGUUUUAGUAUUUGCUAAAUGCAUUUUUAAAAUUCCUUGAUAAGAUGAAACAGGAUAUAGUACAGUAUGUAGGUUACAGUGUGCAGUAUUUGAGUUUCAGAGCAGAUUUUUGAUGGCUGUAAAAUACAUCUUGCAUAUUCUGAAGAUUUUGGAGAACCAGAAUAUAUGAUCUUUCUCAUAACUAUUUAGUUACAUUUUGCCCACUUGAAAUUUAAUGCAACAGUAGAGUUGGGGAACCUGUGAUUUUGAGAUGUUGAAGUUUCCUAAUUUCCAAUCUCUCCCUGGUGAGAUUUCCAUUCAGUCUUCUGGUGGUAUGGCCAAUGAUGAUGAAAGCUGUAGUGCAUCAACAUCUGGAAAGUCACAGGUUUCCCACUUUAUCCUGAUCUCAUUAUUUAACAUUUACAAUGGGUCCUUGAUAUCCAUGAGAGUUCAGUUCCAAGACUCCCAUGGGUACCAAAAUCCAUGGCUGCUCAAGUCCCAUUGUACUGUAAUGGCAUAGUAAAUGGGUGUUUAUCAUAGAAAAUGAAAAGAAAUCAAGGCUUCUUUUUUAGAUUUCUUUUGACGAUUUUCAAGCUGAGGAUGGUUGAAUAUGUGUAUACAUGGAUAUGGUGGGUUAACUGUAUAGGAAACGAACCAGUUCAUAUUUUGGACUUAAACACUUGGUUGUCCUCUGUGCAAAAACAGUGAGGAGAUCAGAUGAUAUCUUCUGCCACUUUUAACCUAAGUAUGCUUUAUAGUUGCAUUUAGCCUGGAGACUGCAGCUAGAAUAGGGAUUCAAUCUAUUCUAGGUGAAAUUACACUCCUCCUGAAAAUAUAGAUGUGAAGUUUGGAUGUACUCCUGUACUCGUCUUUGAACUUUAAUGCCCAUGAGUCUGCAUUAGCCAGACGUGGUUUCACACAUUAAAAGCUUGUGUACUAACUGUGCCUUUUCCUUGAGACUCUAAAUCUGGCCAUGGUAGUAAAUGCCUUUAAUAUUUCCCAUUUGUAUUGUAACACGCUCUGCAUAUGGCUGCCUUUGAAGAGUUUGGAAACUUUAGCUAGUUCAAAAGAGCUGCAGCCAAACUUUUAACUAGAGCAGGUUACAGGGACCUUAUUAUUUUCUUGUUAUCAUAGUUGCACUGGCUGGCAAUUUGUUAAAUUAGUGUCAAACUACAUUGAUUCUAAAGUGUAGGUACAUCCUGGAUCACAUUUAAUCUGGAUGUGGCCUUGGAACUGUAAGAAUAGUAACUCUGAAAGGAGAUUUUGAUACUGCAUUUGAAUCAUCCCUUACAAAAUAGUCUGAUAAGAUAGGGAGAAUAUAUACUUGUACAGGCAUGAAUGUGUAUACCUGCAUAAUUGUGUCUGCAUUCACAAUGUGUGUGCAUCUGUUGUAUGACACACACAUAUGCACAUAUAUAUGUAAAGAAAAAAAUGUAACCCAUAUAUAUUAAAGUACUUCUAAGAUUGUAGAAAAAUUUUGUAAAAGAUUUAUGUGCAGCUAAACUGAAAUGUAUUUUGGGCAUCUGGGACAGCAUUCCUCUUUUGAUGCCAAGAAUAUGUGUGUACUUUAAAGAUCUGCUAGAAACAGAAUAUGUUUUCCCCUUAUUUAGAGUGUUUUAUCAUGAAGGCUUCAAAGGGUUUUUUUUUUGUUCCCUCAAUUUGCCAUGAGCACUUCUUUAAAAGGCAGGAUCUAUUUGGGCUGAGAUAGGCUUAUCAGUGUGUAACCCUAGACCUUUCCCUGUACCAGCUUAAAACCAUCUUUAAAGGGUUAAAGAAGAACAUCUUUCCAGUGCUAUUGCAUGUUGCUUGAAAUAAUCUCUGGUGGCCUGAAAGGUAGUUACUUGUGAUCCAAAAUGGUGACUGUACAUCAUGACUUGUAGCACUUUAGAGUAAUUGAAACAUAUGGAACAUAGUUCUGAAGCAAAUAGGAAAAUCUGGUAUAUAUUGGUAUGCUUCCUUUAGUCUUUUCACCCAGUGACAUCAAACCAAGUUGAGGUAGGUUUUUAGGCAGCCAUUGCAAAGGCUAAGUAAAAUUUGUGUGGACUGUGCUUUUCAUAUUGUUCCCAGAGUUUAAAAUGAUAAUGCAUUAACCCCCCCCCCCCCUCAAAGCUUUAACUUUAGUAGGCUACAGAUAUUUCCCUGCAGAACCAAUAGACCCAAACUGCAAACAUCUAACAGUAAGAAUGAACCUGUUUCUUAAUAUAUUGUAAUAGUUCUUUGAAUAUAUAUAAAAACUGUGCACAAAGAAGAACUAUGCACUAACCGUAUAUACAGAAUGUUAAACUGGAAUUAGGAAGUUGUUCCUUCUUUAAAUAAAAAUCAUGAAGUCAUAUAUGAAGUUUAUGCUUUUCAGUCUACCAAAUCCUGCCAGUAGAUGGCACAGAAGACUAAUGUUAUAUAUCAGCAUUGGCAUUGCAAAAAAACACUUGGGAAGUGUCCAACAUGUGAUAAAAUACAACAGCCAGCAAAGUGAUCUUAUUUGUUGUGUAUCAGUCUUGUUGUGUAUGAAAUAUCAAUCAUCAUCAUCCUGCUUUUAUCUCAGUUGAGUCACAAAACAGCUUCUCAAUUGAUGGGCAAUUUCUCCUUGGACGUAAGUAUUUGAAACAGUGGAUAUAUGUUCCAUGGUAACGGAAAUCUUACUGAAUGAAACUGGAAGGUUCUUGUGGAGAGUUGAGAAGGACACAGGAAUUAGACUGUAGACUUUGAAGCCCAUCCAGACAGGGCCCAAAAUAUGAAUGCUCUCGUGCUUUUACUGGAGGCGUCCAAACAACGCCUCUGGUAAAAGGAAAUUAAUUCGAGACAAAGCAGGAAAACCCUGCUUGGUCCCAAAUUAAUUAGAUAACCUAUUAGAUCCAGGCCUUUUUUAAAAACCCAGAUCUAAUGGGCUAUGGGCCCUGUGGGGACAGACUCCUGGAGCCCAAAGAUGUGAGAUGCUGCCCACCCUCUUCCCAAACCCGCCCAACAAAGAUUUAAAAAUAAAGAAAACCUUACCAGGCUGCCAUUAGGCCUCUCUGCAGGCUCCUGAAAUGUACCAAUGAUGCUCCAGGAAGUGGCGGGGGGCGGGUGUGUGUGUGUGUGUGUGUGUUGCUAAUGGCAGCUCAAUAGGUUUGCCUGUAUUUUUAAGGCUUUUAGAGGGGGGGGGUUGUGGUGUUCCCAUUGCACCACGAUAGUUACCACACUGCAAUGAGCACCACCCACAGGAAAGCCCAGUCCCG
rnacentral:lncRNA from 11 species